UACGAAGGGAGCUAGCGUUGUUCGGAAUUACUGGGCGUAAAGCGCAUGCAGGCGGAUCGUUAAGUCGGGGGUGAAAUCCCGAGGCUCAACCUCGGAACUGCCUUCGAUACUGGCGAUCUUGAGUCCGGGAGAGGUGAGUGGAACUGCGAGUGUAGAGGUGAAAUUCGUAGAUAUUCGCAAGAACACCAGUGGCGAAGGCGGCUCACUGGCCCGAUACUGACGCUGAGGCACGAAAGCGUGGGGAGCAAACAGG
rnacentral:rRNA from 1 species